rnacentral:tRNA from 1 species
GUGGGCUUAGUUCAGCUGGUUAGAACGCCUGACUGUGACUCAGGAGGUCGUGAGUUCGAAUCUCACAGCCCACC